UCUUAUGAAUAAGCAAAGAAAGUAGUUUCUUAUGGAAUCAACUCCUGGUGAAGAUGCUGUGAA
rnacentral:pre_miRNA from 2 species